UCCACCUUGACGCAUCUCUGACGGUCAGUCGGCAUGACAACGCGCUCUCGAGGGCAAACGGGGAACGGCUGAUCUGGAGGAUGGCAGCAGAAGAUGCCCAGUAACGGGAACAGCGGCGGGAAUCGAGCGGACAGGGGCUCCGGGACCAGCCCGGUCCAUGUCCCGGCCAUGGAGCGAGCCCGACCGGCUACGGUGACGGUGUCCGCGGUGAGCCUCGCACUCAGCGUGCUGUCGCUGCUGCUGCUCGUCACCGCCAUCUCCACCGACCACUGGUACGAGACGGACACGCGCAGGCACAAGGAGAACUGCGACCGGCACGGCUCCGACUCCAACGACCAGAAGAACCGCGAGAUGCCCAUCUACCACCUACCACUGGUGGACAGCGGGCCCCGGCACCGGGACGUGGCGCUCAUGAAGCCCGUGCAUGUGGGCAGCAGGGAGGAGGAGCUGCUGGAGAACUGGCGGGCCAUCCUGGGGAUGGGCAUCCUGGAGACGGAGUGCGGCAGGCCGCUGUUCUCCACCCACUCCGGCCUGUGGAGGAAGUGCUACUUCAAGGGGCUGGACCCGGACAUCGACAAGCUCAUCGACCGGGGCAUUGCAGAUCGCUGCACCGCCGUCAAGUAUCACUUCUCUCAGCCAAUCAGACUGAGGAACAUCCCCUUGAACCUGACCAGGACCAUCCAGCAGGACGAGUGGCACCUGCUGCACCUGCGGCGCAUCACGGCAGGCUUCCUGGGCAUGGCGGCGGCCGUCCUGCUGUGCGGGAGCAUUGUGGCGUCGGUGGGCUUCUUCUGGGAGGAGAGCCUGACGCAGCACGUCUCUGGGCUGCUCUUCCUCAUGGCAGGGAUCUUCUGCACCAUCUCCCUGUGCACGUAUGCAGCCAGCGUGACCUACGACCUCUCCAGAAACCCGCCCUUCAUCUACGGCCUGCCGGCUGACGUGGAUCACGGUUAUGGCUGGUCCAUCUGCUGCGCCUGGGCCAGUCUGGGUCUCACUGUAGCGUCUGGCUGCCUCGGCACCACCUUCCCCUUCCUGAGCCGGGCCGGAGCACUGCGGUCCAAAACCGCCCAUGAGUCCUCCGUCUGAGGCGAGGAAGAGGAUGAUUCUCGGACGACAAAAGGUGUAUUUUUGGCCGGUUCCGUAAUAGGAGGGGCCUCGGACUGCAGACGGAGCUGCGCACCUGUUCGUGCUCCUGAUUUGGACCCAGCUCAGGUCACCUCAGCGUGCACUCUGAGCCUCGCCUGGUUCCUGUGAUCCAUCUCUGCAGCGGUGUGGCCAAAGAAGCUUCAUCGGUGUGAAGGUCACCUGAACUGAGGCAGGUCACAAAGCUGCUGCAGCUGGGUCCCCAUCAGGAGCAAUAACAGGAAACACACACACACACACACACACACACACACACACACACACAGGUGUGCGCUGGGAUCCAAACCUGCUGCAGGUGUGAUCUUCAUGGAGCCUUCCCAUGCGGAUGUUUCGGAGCGCUGUGCUCCGAUCAGUCAGUUGGGCGGAGCUUCAGGUGCACGCAAGCACUCUGAGCUCAGGUGAGUGUUAUCCAGUCAUGCGGGGUUCACACGUUGCUUAGGCAUUUGAUGUUCGGGUGUGGCCUUCUUAGUGAUGACAGCCAAUUACAGACAAGCAAAGCUGAUUGUUCUUGUUCGGCUUGGAUCCACAAGCCAGUUCAAAACGUGAUAGGUGUGAAUCCCGCCUGAUGGAUCAGAGUCUGAGCUGCAGAGCGUCACGUGACCAGGUGGCGUGCUGCAGGUUUGGAUGGCGGCGGCCGCUCACAGAUGUGUAUAUAAAUGUGCUUUCAGCUGCGAGCUGAGCCACAGACUGAACCCUUUACUCUGCGACGCUGAGCAGGUGCUGCUCGCUGACUUCAGGCUUCCCGCAGGAGGGAACGCACUGACAGAUGAUCCAGGUAUCAGUGCUGCCGCUCUGUUAUCAAACAAAGGAGUUGACCUUUAACCUCUGACACCGACUCCUCUGUAAACAGGGUAUGACACCAUUUAUGUUUAAGCUUUUUCAGGUAUCAGCCUCUGAGACUCUGCAUCAGCCUAUCGGAAGCCCCGAUGCCUUCUCGUGACCCCCCUGUACGAGCAGAAUCGGACGUUUGAAGUUCAGGUUCUGAGCUUUCAAAAACAUCUGGAAUUACAAACAUUCAUCCACCAGCUGCAGACACCAAACUGAGAAUGUCCACAGCAUCCUUCCCAUCAUCAGGAGGAGGGCUGAUGAUCAGCGUGAGGAGGAGUAU